UACAGAGGUCUCAAGCGUUGUUCGGAUUCAUUGGGCGUAAAGGGUGCGUAGGCGGCGCGGCAAGUCGGGUGUGAAAUCUCGGAGCUUAACUCCGAAACUGCAUUCGAUACUGCCGUGCUUGAGGACUGGAGAGGAGACUGGAAUUUACGGUGUAGCGGUGAAAUGCGCAGAUAUCAGGAGGAACACCGGUGGCGAAGGCGGGACUCUGGGCCGAUACUGACGCUGAGGAGCGAAAGCGUGGGGAGCAAACAGG
rnacentral:rRNA from 1 species